AUUGAACGCUGGCGGCAGGCCUAACACAUGCAAGUCGAACGCGUGGCGGACGGGUGAGUAAUGUCUGGGAAACUGCCCGAUGGAGGGGGAUAACUACUGGAAACGGUAGCUAAUACCGCAUACCAUCGGAUGUGCCCAGAUGGGAUUAGCUAGUAGGUGGGGUAACCGCUCACCUAGGCGACGAUCCCUAGCUGUUCCGAGAGGAGGACCAGCCACACUGGAACUGAGACACGGUCCAGACUCCUACGGGAGGCAGCAGUGGGGAAUAUUGCACAGUGGGCGCAAGCCUGAUGCAGCCAUGCCGCGGGUAUGAAGAAGGCCUUCGGGUUGUAAAGUACUUUCAGCGAGGAGGCGUUACUCGCAGGAGAAGCACCGGCUAACUCCGUGCCAGCAGCCGCGGUAAUAC
rnacentral:rRNA from 1 species